CUCUGAUUCUCUCCCAGAAAACUAAAAAACAAAAAAAGAAUGAGAGGAAAAAUAGUAUGACAUUUGAAAUUUGGAUUGGAUAGUUCUAAAUAAGCUGCCCAAGUACUUUCUUAGAUCUUAUUUAUCUAUUAUAUGCUUUCUUAUACAGCACUAGAAGACUAGAGAUUAUCACCUCCAAUGGCUGCUAGGCUUGUUGACUGCUGCUAGUGAUAGAACUUAUCCAGGGCUGCCAGUAUUGCCCAAUGACCACCAAAGUUGUCAACAACCAUGAGUCACCUUUUUACCCUCUUUAUUUAUUUAUUUUUCCUUUCUUUUUCUUUUUUUCUUUUGAAAGACUUAUGUAGAUAUCUAGAUCUCUUAUGAGAUGUAGCACCAAACAUAGGAUAAGAUGAGGCGGACCCUGUCCUGUACUAUCCUAUCCCCUGUCGUGCUAAAUAAACAGGGUUUUAUUUUGUUAUCUGUACUAUAUUUACUCAAGAAACCUUUUCAUGCUUAUCUUUUAUGUAUGCACAUGCAUAAUUGGCCAGAUGCAUGAAAUUUGAGGAUUUUAUGGAGGUGAAAUGCACUUAGGAAAAAGUCUCUCCCCUCAAUUUUGUCUUGACCUAAAUUGGAGCUUGGAAUAAUACUCAAUAAUGGAGCAGUACAUCCUUUCAGAGUGUUCUGCACUAUUGGGCCAGCACCUUUGUGUUUGUCAUCUUUUCCAUGCUUUUCAUGCCAUGAUGAAAGAUAGCUGUAAAUUUGGGCUUGUAAUCUCAAUUUCGUAGCAAGUAAUGGAACAUGUGUACAGGGUGCAAUGCUUACUCUAAUAUCGUUGAGGUGACAGAUUCAGUUUGUAUGCUAUUGGUCCAAAAUUAUGUCGGUGCUUAAAAUCGUCAACAUUGGCUUGAGCAAGUGCCAGGUUUUAUUUCAUACAUUUGAUUUCCUGUUCAUUAUUCAACUUAAGGGUGGUUUUGGCUUUUCAUGGAUUUUAAGAAUCUAUUUAUCUUCCAGAUGAGAAGUUGCGUGUUCAUAGAAGCGAUGAUUGUUAAGUAGCUUUGUUGGCAUUGUUGUUGAAUUAGCAGCCUAUUUUAACCUCUAUGGCUGUGGUAAUUUCUUUCUGUUGCAUUUUCUGAACAUUCCACUCGUUUCUUUCUGUUCUCAUUUGAGUUAGAGCAAGGUGCUGUGAGUCAUGGAAUGUUAUAACCAGAUGUCUAAUGGAUUCUAGUCUGACUUCCAGGUCUUCUGUCAUUCUUCAAGUUGAAGCUUGCUUGUCAUUCUACGCCUUAAGCUUUCUCAUUCUUCAAGUUGGCAUAUGGUAAAGCUUGGAGAUAUGGCACCAUUUUGAAUUCACUGAUUGAUAACACCAGUUUAAGAAAAUAGUGGAGAGCAUCAUUGUUAGCCUUCAGUUUCCUUCAUUAAUUAUCAGAACAGUUUGCUGAAAACUAUAAUACUUUCUAGCUUAGCAGACCAAUCUCCAGAAUUUGGUUCAAGGGAAAUUAGAAUCA
rnacentral:misc_RNA from 1 species